rnacentral:rRNA from 1 species
UACGGAGGGAGCUAGCGUUGUUCGGAAUUACUGGGCGUAAAGCGCACAUAGGCGGCUUUUUAAGUCAGGGGUGAAAUCCCGGGGCUCAACCCCGGAACUGCCCUUGAAACUGGAGAGCUAGAAUCUUGGAGAGGCGAGUGGAAUUCCGAGUGUAGAGGUGAAAUUCGUAGAUAUUCGGAAGAACACCAGUGGCGAAGGCGACUCGCUGGACAAGUAUUGACGCUGAGGUGCGAAAGCGUGGGGAGCAAACAGG